AGAGCGAACGCUGGCGGCAGGCCUAAAACAUGCAAGUCGAACGAGCCCUUCGGGGUUAGUGGCGGACGGGUGAGUAACACGUGGGAACGUGCCUUUUGGUUCGGAACAACUCAGGGAAACUUGAGCUAAUACCGAAUAAGCCCUACGGGGGAAAGAUUUAUCGCCAUUAGAGCGGCCCGCGUCUGAUUAGCUUGUUGGUGAGGUAAAGGCUCACCAAGGCUACGAUCAGUAGCUGGUCUGAGAGGAUGAUCAGCCACACUGGGACUGAGACACGGCCCAGACUCCUACGGGAGGCAGCAGUUAGGAAUCUUGCGCAAUGGGCGAAAGCCUGACGCAGCCAUGCCGCGUGAAUGAUGAAGGUCUUAGGAUUGUAAAAUUCUUUCAGUGGGAAGAUAAUGACGGUACCCACAGAAGAAGCUCCGGCUAACUUCGUGCCAGCAGCCGC
rnacentral:rRNA from 1 species